UUCAAAGAGCAGGAAGGAGUGAGAGAAAGAAUCCACCCCUCAGAUGACUACAUAAGGAAAUGGGGGGGGGGGGUAAGAAACCCAGUUCUUCGUCUCAGUUUUGCCCAACAGCUGCUCCCCUUUUCCCUCUGAAGCAGUAGCAAGAACAGCAAGGAAAAAUAUACCACGGCAGCAGGCAAAUAAAUAAACUUAAAUGCGGCGGCAGGCAGGGAAGGAUCUUAAAGAGCGACGAGGAUUAGAGGGCCAAAAGUCAGUUUUUGGGGAAAAAAAAAGGAAAAAAAAUUGCUUUAUGGGAGGGGGAAAACCCCCCUUUAAACAGUCACGCCCCCUUUUGCAAUGACCGGUCCUUGCACUGCGUGUAAAUCCGACAUCAGCAACCUGGAACCGUUCGGAGACUGGCGCGAUGCGCUGCCGAGGUGCACGCGUGUGCGCAGCCGAGGCAGCCGCAGCGGGCGGAACGUGGUGCGCGGAGAAGGAAGAAAUAAUCUUAUGGAAGAGAACAGAAUGAAAUGGCUGCAGAUGAACCUGACCCAGUAUUUACUUGUGUGUCUAACAGAAAAAAACGUAUAUAUUUUCAUGGAUCUCAGAAGCUUGCAAAUUUCUCUCCGAAGUAUGAAAGAAGAUUCUUUGAUUUGUUGCAUUCUGCAGGUUCUCUGUGGGCCAAUAUAAUAGGAUGCUGCAAGCAAGAGAGAGGAAUUACUCCCCAGGCAAGCAUAAAGGGAGAAAUAAAAUGUAACAGCAGUACAAACUCUAAUUUGGACUGAAAGUUUGGAGUGACACAAAUUAAAACACUGAAGUCUGGAAGAGUUUUAGUGUUGACUUUAGUGAGAAUUUUGCCCAGUUUAAUGUAGCAUAAUCCAGGCCAGGAUUUAAGAACACCCUGCGUGCUGAUACCAGGCAGCACCAAACUGUAUUGAAUCAGAUAGAGAGUGGAAAGUCAGAGCAUGCUGUCUGUUCUGAGUAGCUUCAAGAAAUAGUACCUUUUAAAAUCUGUAUGAUCAUUUUUAGACAAAGAAAAAACGCCCCAAUACUUAUUAAUAUCAUCAUCUG
rnacentral:lncRNA from 1 species